rnacentral:lncRNA from 1 species
UCUACCUUUUGGCUCUAUGCUUCUAUACUUCUCUGUUCCCUUUGUGACCUCAUCACAUGUGUCCUUACUGGUUUCACAUCAGUCCUCUGCAAAAAUGUUAUUUCGAUGAACGCAAGGCCGAGACUAUCUUGUUCACUGUCAUAUCAUCAGCCCCUAGCGAAAUGACUAAGUAUAUAGUAAGAGCUUAAGAAGUAUUUAAUGAAUUGAAUUGAAAUUGAAAUUCCAUAUUCCCUUUGUAAAAGGCAACUGUCCUUGAAAUGAGCAACACGCUAAACCAUGUUACACUAAAGCUAUAUAUUCUCAGGCAAAAUCCUAGAAGGCAAUGUUGGACAAGAAAGUUAUGUACAAAUGGUAUAAAGAAGCUUCAAACAGUAUGGAUGUCUUUGGUUGAGAUUAACUGGAUAUGGUUUCUCAUUACAAAGUUAAAACGUUGUGAAGAGGCAAGAGUGAAUGACGGCAUUACAUCACUAACCACCAGCCACCAUCUUUUGGACUGGUUCUGACAUUUCAUAAACCUACUCAGAAUGUCCUGCAAGAUCAAAUACUGGCAUUCCAGCCUGGUCAGUAAUGAAAUAAUGCCUCUUUUGAUUUGUUGUUCUUGUUUUCCUAUUAAAUUCUCCUCACCUCCAACUUGUUGGGAUCAGCUUAGUUGCUCUGUAAGUCUUUGUGACUCUGCCUUUGAGGAAACUCAGGCUGAUGAGACAAACAUAUAGAAAAGUAGCUCAGUUUUCUCCAAAUCUAGUGCACUAUUUCAAUUGUGCUGAAUAGGAACCUAAAGAAUUGGGAGACUGGGGCUAGUAAUGAACCUUUAAUGAGCCCUGGCACUCAUUAGACAUGGAAUCCCAAGAAGAACUGGCUAAAGUUUCUGCCCAAUAGGAUCACAAGUUGGCCCAGUGGCAAGUUUCCUGGCCCAGUGUUAAGCAUCUAGAGGGCAAUAGAAUGUGGAUCAAAACUCUGUAUUCCCUCCUGUCCCCCAGGCACCUGCUCCCUCCUUUGCCCCAAGCCUUCGAAGAUUGAAUUGUCUGACUCUGAAUUUAAUGGAAAACUCUGCCCUUGGAACUGCAUCUCAGAGCCAAAAGCAAAGCUAGUAAUGAGCCCCAGGUGGUAUGUGUAUUUGCUAUUCUGCUUCGCAAGUUAACUAUGGCCAAAGAAUUUUAUCUUGUGCUUUCAUGACGUAGUGUUUUAAAACAUAGAUUUACUCUACAAAUAAACUCUAUAUUUUUCUCCCA